rnacentral:rRNA from 1 species
GACGAACGCUGGCGGCGUGCUUAACACAUGCAAGUCGAACGGAAAGGCCAUGCUUUUGUGGGGUGCUCGAGUGGCGAACGGGUGAGUAACACGUGAGUAACCUGCCCUUGACUUUGGGAUAACUUCAGGAAACUGGGGCUAAUACCGGAUAGGAGCUCCUGCUGCAUGGUGGGGGUUGGAAAGUUUCGGCGGUUGGGGAUGGAAUAGCGGCUUAUCAGCUUGUUGGUGGGGUAGGGGCUUACAAAGGCUUUGACGGGUAGCCGGCCUGAGAGGGUUACCGGCCACAUGGGGACUGAGGUACGGCCCAGACGCCUACGGGAGGCAGCAGUGGGGAAUAUUGCAGAAUGGGCGGAAGCCUGAUGCAGCAACGCCGCGUGCGGGAUGACGGCCUUCGGGUUGUAAACCGCUUUCGCCGGUGACGAAGCGUGAGUGACGGUAAUGGGUAAAGAAGCACCGGCUAACUACGUG